AUUAGACACCCUAUAACCCACACCUACACACUCAUGUAUCAAUCUGAUUGAUGGAUUGUGUUGUGCAGUAAACAGGCUCAGGUGUAUAACUGUGGCUCCUUCCACCUUCAAAGAAUAGGCAAGAGGGCCAACCAUGGAGAAUAGUUAUAUCAGCUGUGUCGGUGAACCCCUCCUGCAUCUGAACUGGCUACAUAGAGGGCACAGCAUGAUCAGAGGUAUGUUUUGAUGUGAGAGGAUGCCAACCCCCAGUCCCAUCAUCACCACCUCACCUGCUUUUAAGAACCUUUGGGCCGACGAGAGA
rnacentral:lncRNA from 1 species